rnacentral:tmRNA from 1 species
CCCCUUUUCGCCCGGGGCGCCACGCCCUAUAUUCAUCUCGCCGUCGCAAGACGGAUAUGGCGAUAAAUGGUCAUCGGAAUAAGCCUUUCGGACCCGGGGGCGGUACCCGGCGCCUCCACCAAAACCCGGCUCUGGUCGGGCUUUGGCGGGGGCGAAACAGGAUCGACGAGGGUGUAAAGGGUGUGCUUUUGCCCGGCAUGGUUCCGCCGUUAUCGGGCCGUUGCAAUAGUUGCCAACGACAACUUUGCUGAGGUCCGCGCGGCCGCGUAAGCGGUCGAGCAUCCUCGACUCAAGCCCUUGCGGUUAGCCCCGUAAGGCGGGGCCCGGAGGCGCCUGGCAACAGAAGCCUCCACC